UACAAAGGAAAGCAGAAACCCUAGUUUUACACCCAAAGGAAGGACUCAACGGAACAAAAAAUGAUGAUGAAGCACGCGCAAACGAUUUUGGCCAAGGUUAAGCAAGAAUUAUUAUUUCAUUCCGGAUCCCCCUCUCGAUUUCUCCCUAAUCGUGAUUGUAGUAUUGUCUGUUUCGUCGAGAUAUGCAGUAUUGUCGGAAAGGGAUUUCAUCCGUGGCCUCUUCCCCCAUGUCCACGAGGGUCAAGCAUGCUUGGGAGGAGCAGGACAAAUUAGUUCUUGGUUUAGCGUUUCUUGGUGGAUGGUUUAGCAAAGCUCUCAUAAAUGUUUACAAGAGAAGAGAGGAUUGGUAUAGAA